CAGGACAGGGUGACACAAGGGCUCUGCAAUGUUCUCACGGCUGCCUUCCGGGGCAUCGCUGCCUCUCCCUGCUCUGUGAGGGGCUUUGUUCUUCACCACGGCACCGUUUGCCUCCUAUGGUCCUGGUGGCCUUGUCAAUAACAGUGGAUGAGGGAUCGGCCCCAUCUGCCCCACGCUGCUGGCCGACAGCACACAUCUGUGCAGAGCUCAGCACAGGAGCUGGGAGCAAGCUUGAGCCGCCACCUUAAUCUGUUCUCCCAUAGACUGGGUGGGAGAGUGGAGCCAUUGAGAGCCAUUUGGCUCCAGCCUGGCUCCAGAGGGAGCGCAUUGGGCACAGCACCCUGUGCCAUUCAGCUGCCCACACCAUGCAGCCAGCCCAGAGAAUGGGACAGGGCAAGUCCAGGAGGUCAGAGCCAGCUGGCACUCCCAGCCCAUUGCCAGCAGCACGGGGCUCCGAUGUGUGCUGCUGCAAAGCGACUCAGCGAGGAAAGUGCUGAGGCCCCAUGCUGAGCUCCCACUGAACCUUUGAAUUAUUUUUGGUUAAUUAGAUUCAACAAGUCAGCAAAAGCUCUCCCCACCCCCACGCCCACCCUUCGCCCUGCCUCAUGCUUUCCAACAGCAGCUCUUUGCUCCUGGAGAGGCCAGGAUGCCCUAUUCUCUGCACAGCUGAAGGCUGUCUUUUCUUUUUACAGUUCAAUUCCUUUUAGCCUCGUGUGCGGGGAGGAUGGCAGCAAAGCCAGAGGCACAAGGAGGCUGCGGGGUGUUACUGCAGGAAUGCUGCUGUCCUUCAGAGCCUGGGAGGUUCUUUCAGAGAGGAGAAGACCCAGCCAGGGGUAGUUUCCUCCUUCAGACCCAAGGAGCAUUUCUGGAGUGGGGCAUAGCAGGGCUCCUCGUGGCAGCUGGCAGUGCAACGGACCACGUCCUGUUGUCCCCUGUAGUCCCUUCAGAAGCAGCUCUGCAGGAGCUUUGGCUCCAUGCACGCAGCGGGGCUGGAGCUGCAUUUCAGCUCUGUGGAUGUGGGUCAGGAGCUGGGGGGGUAGAGAUCAACUCAGAGCUCCCCAGGGGGAGCAGAUCUCCUCUGAGGUUGGGCAAUGACAGGGAGAGCCCUUGGAGCUGCGGUCCUCCAGCUGGGCUGCCUCGUGGCGCUGAGGACCCACAGCCAGCAGGGUUCUCUGCAGCCUCGUGCGUUUGCUUCCUGCCGAUUUCAGUAGAAACACGCAGGGAAAGGCCUGACCUCGUUCCUCCCCACCUCUCUUUAUCCCCACUGCUGCAGCCCUGCAGGAUUAUGGGCCACACUGCAGCGCUGAGCCCUUCUCCAUCCCCAUUCCAAAGCAAAGCCGUGGGUCCGGCCUGAUCCAAACCCACAGCAGCUGUUCUCCCUUUGCAGCCCCUGAUGCAUUCCUCCCCCCCAGGCUGCAAAACUCAUCUCAGCCCCCUCCUGCUCCCAUCCCGUGACCCUUCAGCCUGCUGUGUAUCACCAGUGCAAACUGUAAAUAAUUGACGCGAUGGUUUCUGAUGCUGUUUUAUUUUUUUAAAGGCAUUUGUACAGGUUUUGUAUCCUAACCCCUAAAUCGGGGCGUUUCCACGUUGUAAUUCUCCUCUUUGACCUCCGGCUCAGUUCUGGGCUUUUUUUUUUUUUUUGUAUUUCGAGCACCAAACUCAGCCGAGGCUGCACUUCACACCAAUAAAUCUCUU
rnacentral:lncRNA from 1 species